UACAGAGGUCCCAAGCGUUGUUCGGAUUCACUGGGCGUAAAGGGUGCGUAGGUGGUGAGGUAAGUCGGAUGUGAAAUCUCCGAGCUCAACUCGGAAAUGGCAUUGGAAACUACCUUGCUCGAGGGUUGGAGGGGGGACUGGAAUACUUGGUGUAGCAGUGAAAUGCGUAGAUAUCAAGUGGAACACCAGUGGCGAAGGCGAGUCCCUGGACAACUCCUGACACUGAGGCACGAAAGCUAGGGGAGCAAACGGG
rnacentral:rRNA from 1 species